rnacentral:ribozyme from 1 species
AAAUUUUAAAUUUUUUUUUUUUUUUUUUUUUUUUUUUUUUUUUCCCCUUUUUCUCA